rnacentral:ncRNA from 1 species
GCGUUGUAUGAAAGGAGAGAAGGUUAGCAGUCCCCUUGACAAGGAUGGAAGAGGCCCUCGGGCCUGACAACACGCAUACAGUUAAGAGAAAGACAGUUCUACACCAACUGAUGAAAUACAAAUUCCU